rnacentral:rRNA from 1 species
UGAGCAAUCUGCCCUUCUCUUUGGAAUAAGCGUUGGAAACGACGUCUAAUGCCGAAUACGACCUCCUUUCGCAUGAUCGGAGGUGGAAAGCUCCGGCGGAGAAGGAUGAGCUCGCGGCCUAUCAGCUAGUUGGUGUGGGUAAUGGCCCACCAAGGCGACGACGGGUAGCCGGCCUGAGAGGGUGACCGGCCACACUGGGACUGAGACACGGCCCAGACUCCGUACGGGAG